AUGACUUGGAUGUGGUCACUAUUCUCUGUAAUCAUGGAUUAUUUAGCUAUCUUCCCCACUGCCUCUGGAAAUGCCUUCAUUUCCUUGGCCUUUAUCUGAGUUAUGAGAUAUGCAUCACAUCUUUCUUUUAGGCAAUGGUUUUACUUUUAGAUGAUUAAUAAACUCAAAUUUGUUGCAUUGAUCUUGUGCCUACAAAUACUUUUGUAGUCUCCUUAUUCUCUUGUGCAUUCCCCAUCUCUUGCAGCUUGAAGCAAUGGGGUUUGACCGUGCAACUGUGCUCCAAGUGUUCUUUGCGUGCAACAAGAAUGAGGAACUUGCAGCCAACUACCUUUUAGAUCAUAUGCAUGAUUUUCAGGAUUGAGCUGGUAAAAGAAAUGGCUAGGGGAAGUACAAUAUCAUUUUCUCUUUCGUUCUUUGGGUCCAUUGUCAUUCAUGUCCCCCUCCCCUCCCCCCAAAACUCUACCGACUUUAUUCUUAAUCAAGUGAUGUAAGUGUUUGGUGUAGAGACAAGGGAUGUGAAGAUGUUAACUUCAUUUUUUUUU
rnacentral:lncRNA from 1 species